UUGCGCACCUGCACCAGUCUACGAGCAGUCUUUGUUUCAAAACGCACCUCACAUUACAUUCAUCAUUUGAUACUGUAGCAAUGAACUCAUCCAAAACAAUUGGAACUAUAAUAGACACACAUUUGUUUUAGUGGCUGGCCGAUUUGCUCGUCAUCUCACGUGCCAAGAAGGUUCUGAGAAGAGUAUUGUCUCGGGGCGACUUUUGCUGUCUGUCUGUCUGUCUGCCUGCAAGAGGAUGUCAUUUCCAACAAACUCGGCGGAGGUGUGUAGCACAAGCGCCAACGAAGGCCUUGUAUGUUCGGGAACCUUGAGCUCGGCCUUUUAUGAUUCCGAGCAAGAGGCUUUGUUUCGGGCGGUCUGGCUAUCUCGCUUAAGCUUCGGCAACACGUCUUGAAAUACGACCAGUGACGGAUGGUCACAGGUUCAGGUUAAGAAACACACCCAAAACCACAAUUCCAGAAUUUAUACAGCUAUUUCUGCACAAUUUUAUCUUCUUCUUUUCUUGUCGAUAAUCCUUGUUUUUGGUCAUGUGUUCCUAUGUUGUCAUUGUUGUAAUUAUUAUUAGCAUUAUUAUUCCCUGAAUAUUUAUUGAUUGUGUUUAAUACAUUGUCUUUCAGAAGGGUCCAUUUACUUGUUGCUUACUAUUGAUCAUUUACUAAUCUUAAGUCUCAUUUAAUAUCGCAUGUCAAUUGUUGUAAAUAAUGACAGCCUGAUUUUUACAAAUAAGGACAAGGUUUUAUAUAUUCGGAUAUGAAUGCAAGGUGCAUCUUUAGUCUUUAUUUUCAUUGAAAACUAAUGACUGUAUCUUCCAAAUGGUCUUGAUGAUUGUAAAGUGCAUUAUUGACCGCAAUCUUGAUGCCGCAGCUUCAGUCUCCUUAAUCCACAGGUAUCUGAUAUUUGCAAGGGAGCGGGGAAGCCUGCAAAGGGGCCGCGUCGUUGUUGGUGUCUGUCGGCCGCCGUCCAAUCGGGCCAAUAGCUGACCAUCCUGGAAAACGUGAUCACCCCCCAAAGAAAAUGAAAGGAGAAGAGCGGCGUUUUUUCUGGAUGCAGAGAUCCAGAGGCCGUGUCGCCGUGCUCCGGGAGAACAAGGGAAGAGGGAGCCUGAUUGGAAAGGGGCUGCUGGGAAGCCCCCCACAAAAGACGUCGCUGUCCGCUUUCUACCCCUCGUCUGGGCCUGCUCGCGGACGAGCCGAGCCGCGGGUCUACGUAUGUCUUCAGACGCUGGACAGUGAAGGAGCAGACUCGUCACUGAAAUUCACACGCGCAGACCAGACAAAGCAAGCCUUUUGCCACCGUUUUCCAAUAAAUGCAGCAGUAUAAAACAAUGGAGUAAGCCCAUCUCUUUUAUUGAAUGUGUUAACUAUGCUUAUCAAUGGAAUAAAUACAUUGCUGUUAAACACAUUAGCAAGCAUUUGUUCAUUGAGUAUGGCAAAAAAAAGAAUGCCGAACAAGAUGUGCACAGCAUAGCAUUUAUUAAUUAGCAUGAAUUAUGCAAACAAUUAGAAACUACUGUACAGUGAAAUUAGGAAAUAUAAGUAAUCCAAUAAUCA